GGACAACAGGCCCAAGACAUUACAGGAGAUGGUUAGAAGAUUCUACCUACCCCAGAGCAGUCAGAUGAGCUGAAGUCCUCACUACUGCUAACCACAUUCUGGAUGCUCUCAAUUUGGAAAACAGGAGCUGUACAAACAUAGUGGAAGAAGCCAUCCCUUCCCUGAAGGUGUCCUCUGAUGAUCUAAAACCAGAAGGAGCCGAUGGAGAUGUACUAAAACAGGUCUUGCAGGAUCUCUAAUCCAUCUCAGCUGCGUUCGUCUUUUAAAUACUUCUUCAAAGUCCACAUUUUGCUGCAAUGCUUGAAGAAAACACGUUUCCAAAGAACAGCGCCGUGCAACUUGGAAUCGAGCGGAUCCAGCGGGGCAGGGGACGACAGACAGAAUUUCAACACCAAAGAGGCGGCGUAAAGCAGGUGUGCGUUUGCUCGAGGGGGGCUAGAGUUACA